rnacentral:misc_RNA from 1 species
GACAGAAGGUGCAAGCGUUACUCGGAAUUACUGGGCGUAAAGCGUCCGCAGGCGCUCUGCAAAGUCUGAUGUAAAAGCACGAAGCUCAACUCCGUGUAUGUGUCGGAAACUUGCAGAGUAGAGUCAUGUAGAGGCAUCUGGAAUGCCGUGUGUAGGGGUAAAAUCCGUUGAUCCACGGUGGAACGCCAAAAGUGAAGACAGGAUGCUGGACAUGUACUGACGCUCAGGGACGAAAGCGUGGGGAGCGAACGGG